CGCAUUGCCUCCAUCAACCGCCGCGAUGCAGACACGACACUAACUAAAAUACAAAUACGAUAACUUUUCAUCCAUUUUUCUCCAUCCCGACACACAAUUUUUCAUCUCUGACAUCUGUCAGUUUUGCGCGCCAUUUCCACGAACUUUAUUUUUCUAAAACUUUUUUGUCUGUGCUGGUUUUUUGUGAAUGCUGCCAGGGUUAAUAAAGCCUUCCGGUGGAUAUUAAAAGAUACAGUAUGUCACAAAACUGCAAAUCGACGUACACAGCGGCGACGACGCGCGACGCCAAUAAUAACACUCUGUACCACGGGGCCGGCGCGGGCUACGGCGGUCGGGGGUACGCGCCGCCCAACAAGAACUCUAACAACAACUAUCAGCAAGUGACGGCGAAAGUGCUGUUCGGCAGCGUGACGGCGAUCAAUGACCUCAAGCGCCAGGAGAAGGCCGAGCGGGAAGUCCGGCGGACACACUAACAUCUAACGCCAUCUAGCGAACAGAAUGAAAACUAGGAUCAUGUGAUACGAGGAAAUAUAAUGGAAGCUAUGGAGUGAUCUCGGAAGACAGGAAUAAAUGUGCAUAAAAUAUAUUUUUUUAGAUUUAUAUUAUUAAACUUAGAUUAAAGAUAUAACUCCUAUUUUAACUAUCUUUUAUAAAAUUAUUUACUACAUAAAAUUUUACCUGAUUGUAUUAG